rnacentral:lncRNA from 1 species
GCGCCUCUCCAACGCCCCGCACCCGCCCCCCUCAGAAGCACGUGCGCCUUACGUAAUUUCCUGUUAUUCUUCGGUUUGCCUCCUCCCAGUGGCGUGGAUUUGCUCCCGACCCGCUUUUGGGGCGUGCCUGCUUCCUCCUCUCUGUUAGAUCUCGCUCUGUCACCCAGGCUGGAGUGAAAUGGCACAAUCUUGGCUCACUGUAACCUCCGCCCCCAGGUUCGACUGAUUCUCGUGCCUCAGCCUCCUCAGUAGCUGGGAUUACAGGAUGGAGAGUAAAGGAGGUAAAGGAGGACUCUGAUGCCUCAGCCAUGCGCCUGUGUGCCGAUUCCCAUUAAGCCUGCACCAAUUUGAUUUCCAAGACUCCAGUCAAUCCUCAGAGCUCCAGGAGGGGAGGGGCAGCUUUUCCUGGUAGCUGCUGAUCACCAGCAGAGGGAGCCCUAGGACUGCAGGGCCUCUUUCCUUACCGUUGGUGAAGCCCUUCACUGUGGCUUCAAAACUGUGGAAGACCCGGGAUUUGUGGAUCACUUGCCUUUAGAAUAGAAUCAAGAAAUAAAGCUGCAGAAGAAAGAAUCUCCAUGUGAUGAGCCCCAGAGAGGCGAAGCCACUUGAGCUCGUGAGUGACAGUCAGAUGUCAAGCCCUGCUCUUUCUAAAGCGUGCUGCCUUCAGAAAAGAAGAGCCAGAAGGAUGGAAAUUACUUCAGAAAGAUGAAUACCAGCUUUGAAGGAAUAAAAGCUGACGAGGAAUUGAAGGAGUUGAGGCACGAGCUUGAACAGGGUUGCAUGUUUGGCCCUUGAUUGUAAAUGCCCAUUGCUGCACCUGUUCCUGUUACUUGGGGAGUUGCAGCAGAAGGAACAGCGGCCUGGGACUCCAGAGAACUGGGUUCCCUCUCAUCCCUCCAGGGCCACCACUUCUUGUGGGCCCUUGGGCAAGUCACUGUACUUUCUGAGUCUCAGUUUCCCCAUUUGCAGAAUGGAAAUAACUACCCCGGUCUACCAACUUAGAAGAAUUGCUUUGAGGAUCUGAUAAGGUGGUGUGGAUGAUGCUGCCUUGGGGGCUUUACAGUCUGGAGCUCAAGGGACCCCUUAAGUUGGGCUUACUUAGUAACUCCAGGGGUGGGCAGAACAGGACUCCAAUGAGGGUUUUUUUCUUUUUCCCUUUUUUUUCUUUUCCUAUCUCUUAACUUUUAUCUUUAUUAUUUUACAAUGCCCUUGUAAGAUGAAACAAGUGAUGCUGAAAUAUCUUUUUCUUUUUUAACCUUUAUUUUAGAAUUGGGGUACAUGUGCAGGUUUGUUACAUAGGUACAGUGUGGGCUGCUGAGGUUUGGGAGUACGAAUGAAUUAGUCACCCCAGUGGUGAGCAUAGUGCCCGAUAAGUGGUUUUUUCAACCCUUACUCCCAUCCCUCUCCAUUCUUGUGUUCCCCAGUGUCUGCUGUUCCCAUUUUUAUGACCAUGUGUACUCAAUGUUUAGCUCCCACUUAGAAGUAAGAACAUGCCCAGCACUUUGGGAGGCCGAGGUGGGUGGAUCAUGAGGUCAAGAGAUCGAGACCAUCUUGGCUAACAAAGUGAAACCCUGUCUCUACUAAAAACAUAAAAAAUUGGCCGGGUGUGGUGGUGGGCACCUGUAGUCCUAGCUACUCGGGAGGCUGAGACAGGAGAAUCGCCUGAACCGGGGAGGUGGAGGUUGCAGUGAGCUGAGAUUGUACCACUGCACUCCAGCCUGGGUGACAGAGUGAGACUCCAUCUCAAAAAAAUAAAAAUAAAAAAAUAAAAAGAAUGUGGUGUAUGAUUUUGUUUUCUGUUUCUAUGUUAAUCCACUUAGGAUAAUGGCCUCCAGCUACAUCCACGUUGUUACAAAAGACACGAUUUCAUUCUCUUAUAUGGCUGCCUAAUAUUCCACGGUGUAUAUGUACCAUAUUUUCUUUAUCACAUCCACUGUUGAUCCACACCUGGGUUGAUUCCAUGUCUGUGCUAUUGUGAAUAGCACUGCAGUGAACAUGUGGGUGCGUGUGUCUUUGUGGUAGAACGAUUUCUUUUCCUUUGAGUAUAAUAUAUCCAUUAAUGGGAUGGGGCUGACAUACUUAAAGUAGAAACGAAAAUUGUCAUGUGCUCCCCCACGCCCCUCCAUUCUACUCUGCAGAGAGACAGCUGCCUGCUGUUUGUGGUUUAGUACACCUCCUUCCAGGCUUUAAAUAAACUA